GUGAGGAAUAUUGCGCAAUGGAGGCAACUCUGACGCAGCCAUGCCGCGUGCAGGAAGAAGGCGCUACGCGUUGUAAACUGCUUUUAACCGGGAAGAAACCCCAGGACGUGUCCUGGGUUGACGGUACCGGAGGAAUAAGCACCGGCUAACUUCGUGCCAGCAGCCGCGGUAAUACGAAGGGUGCAAGCGUUAUCCGGAUUCAUUGGGUUUAAAGGGUGCGUAGGCGGAGCGUUAAGUCAGUGGUGAAAUCCUGCAGCUUAACUGUAGACUUGCCAUUGAUACUGGCGCUCUUGAGUGCGCUUGAAGUGGGCGGAAUGUGCCGUGUAGCGGUGAAAUGCUUAGAUAUGGCACAGAACACCAAUUGCGAAGGCAGCUCACUAAGGCGAUACUGACGCUGAGGCACGAAAGCGUGGGGAUCGAACAGGAUUAGAUACCCGGGUAGUCG
rnacentral:rRNA from 1 species